rnacentral:lncRNA from 13 species
CGCGGGCCGCCGGCAGCCCCCCGGGGGAGCGCCGCGGUCCUCGGGGCGCCCCGCCGCCCCACGGCGCCUCCUUCUCCACCCCCAGCACUCCACUGGAGCGGUCGCCGCCGGGCAGCGCUCUCUUUGACGAGGAGAGCCUCCGCGGGAAGCGGAGCCCCGGCUGCGAGCUACCCUUCUUGGCGCGCACCCCCUCCGCCCUGGCGCUGAGCGGCACCGCCAGCCCCGCCAACAGCAUCUUCUCCUCGCCCCGGCGCUGGCUGCAGCAGAGGAAGGGGCAACCCUCGCCGCCGGAGCCUCGCCCCGCCGCCUACGUCGUGUGGAAAUCCGAGCUUCCUGUCUAG